rnacentral:rRNA from 1 species
AAUCAACGCUGGCGGCGUGCCUCAGACAUGCAAGUCGAACGAUUAAAGCUCUCUUCGGAGAGUGCAUAGAGUGGCGCACGGGUGAGUAACACGUAAGUAAUCUACCUUCGAGUGGGGAAU